rnacentral:rRNA from 1 species
CCUACGGGAGGCAGCAGUGAGGAAUAUUGGUCAAUGGGCGGGAGCCUGAACCAGCCAAGUCGCGUGAGGGAAGACGGUCCUACGGAUUGUAAACCUCUUUUGCCGGGGAGCAACGGGGUCCUUGCGAGGUCCCAAUGAGAGUACCCGGAGAAAAAGCAUCGGCUAACUCCGUGCCAGCAGCCGCGGUAAUACGGAGGAUGCGAGCGUUAUCCGGAGUGACUGGGUGUAAAGAGUUGCGUAGGUGGCAUAAUAAGUAGCUAGUGAAAUCUGGUGGCUCAACCAUUCAGACUAUUAGCUAAACUGUUAAGCUCGAGACCGUUAGGGGUAACUGGAAUGUCUAGUGUAGGAGUGAAAUCCGUAGAUAUUAGAAGGAACACCAAUAGCGUAGGCAGGUUACUGGGACGGUUCUGACACUAAGGCACGAAAGCGUAGGGAGCAAACGGGAUUAGAUACCCGUGUAGUC